CUCCAAGCAACUUGGAAAUGUUCUUGUAUCAUCCCGGUUUCUCUUUAAAAGGAAAAACUGGCUUUAAAGGUGAUCAUUUAGAUGUCAAAGGGUUUGAUUAUUUGGUUUUUUGUUUUGUUUCUCCCCAUUCAGUGGUUGAGGUGAAGUUGUGCACACCUGAGCAGAGAAAGCAGGAUGUUUCUGAGAUGCACCAGAGAACUAGGAGACUAUGAGCAGCUGGAGGAGGUGAAGCAUGAAGAAGGAGCUGAGGAGCAGAUGUGAAGUUUCAGCCAAAAACAGACUGAAAGCAAAAGAAUUCCACAAUAAAACCUUACAGAAGCUUCGUGCCAAGCAGCCUCGCCAGUGAUCAACACACCACCUUUACUCACCGCACAGUCUGACCUUAAAUCCGUCAUGAUCUUUGUAAUAAAGUGUAUUUAUUUUUU